rnacentral:rRNA from 1 species
UACGUAGGUGGCAAGCGUUGUCCGGAUUUACUGGGCGUAAAGAGCGCGCAGGCGGUCGUUCAAGUCGCGUGUGAAAGCCCCCGGCUCAACUGGGGAGGGUCACGCGAUACUGAUCGACUCGAAGGCAGGAGAGGGUAGUGGAAUUCCCGGUGUAGUGGUGAAAUGCGUAGAUAUCGGGAGGAACACCAGUGGCGAAGGCGACUACCUGGCCUGUUCUUGACGCUGAGGCGCGAAAGCGUGGGAAGCAAACAGG